AAUCAACGCUGGCGGCGUGCCUAACACAUGCAAGUCGAGCGCGAAAGGGGGCGAACUCCCGAGUAGAGCGGCGAACGGGUGAGUAACGCGUGGGUAAUCUACCUCCGAGUGGGGAAGUAACAGCGGGAAACUGCUGCUAAUACCGCAUGACAUCGUCGGGUCGAUGGAUCUGACGAUCAAAGCCGGGGACCGCAAGGCCUGGCGCUUGGAGAGGAGCCCGCGCCGAUUAGCUAGUUGGCGGGGUAACGGCCCACCAAGGCGACGAUCGGUAGCCGGCCUGAGAGGGCGGACGGCCACACUGGGACUGAGACACGGCCCCAGACUCCUACGGGAGGCAGCAGUGGGGAAUUUUUUCGCAAUGGGGGAAACCCUGACGAAGCAACGCCGCGUGGAGGAUGAAGG
rnacentral:rRNA from 1 species